ensembl:misc_RNA
GAUUCAACCUUAGAGGGUCAAGUUCUCUGUUUAUCCACAGAACAGAGAUAGCACGGGUGGCAGCAGUGAAAGCUCCACCUUGCUCUGCCAGUGUGCCCCAGACCUGACCUGGAGGGACCACUUCUAGAAGGAAGAGGAUAGUUUGGUUUUCAUGCCCAUAAUUUAUCUAAGGCUGUC